CCUACGGGAGGCAGCAGUGAGGAAUAUUGGUCAAUGGGCUUACGCCUGAACCAGCCAAGUCGCGUGAGGGAAGACUGCCCUAUGGGUUGUAAACCUCUUUUGUCAGGGAGCAACGCCGGCUACGUGUAGCCUGACUGAGAGUACCUGCAGAAAAAGCAUCGGCUAACUCCGUGCCAGCAGCCGCGGUAAUACGGAAGGUCCGGGCGUUAUCCGGAUUUAUUGGGUUUAAAGGGAGCGUAGGCCGCAUGUCAAGCGUGCUGUGAAAUGUCCGGGCUCAACCCGGGCCUUGCAGCGCGAACUGGCGUGCUUGAGUCCGCGGGAGGCAGGCGGAAUUCGUGGUGUAGCGGUGAAAUGCUUAGAUAUGACGAAGAACCCCGAUUGCGAAGGCAGCUUGCUGCAGCGAAACUGACGCUGAUGCUCGAAAGCGCGGGUAUCGAACAGGAUUAGAUACCCUUGUAGUC
rnacentral:rRNA from 1 species